CUGACACUCAGUGAUUUCAGGUUGUGACAGUCAUGUUACUAGAACGUGUGGCACCUGGAAACCCCAAGGAGGAAGCGCAGCCUUCCCUCCUGGGCAUGAAGCUGGCUUUUGGUGCGGCUGUGCUGCAACUGCCAUUUGCCACCGAGGAUCCUCUUCUCUUCACUGGGGAGAGUUAAGAGGGAGAAGACACCAUUGGAGCGGG
rfam:Otolemur garnettii contig034107, whole genome shotgun sequence.